AUACUUACCUGGCAAGGGAGAUACCGUGAUCAAGAAGGCGGUUCACCCAGGGCGAGGCUCAGCCAUUGCACUCCGGCUGUGCUGACCCUUGCGAAUUUCCCAAAUGUGGAAAUCUCGAUUGCAUAAUCUAUCGUAGUGGGGGACUGCGUUCGCGCUCUCCCCUG
rnacentral:snRNA from 8 species